UACGGAGGGUGCAAGCGUUGCUCGGAAUCACUGGGCGUAAAGAGCGUGUAGGCGGGUUCGUAUGUCUGACGUGAAAGCCCCGGGCUCACCCCGGGAAGUGCGUUGGAAACUGCGAGACUAGAGUCCCGGAGAGGAAGGUGGAAUUCCAGGUGUAGCGGUGAAAUGCGUAGAUAUCUGGAAGAACACCGGUGGCGAAGGCGGCCUUCUGGACGGUGACUGACGCUGAGACGCGAAAGCGUGGGGAGCAAACAGG
rnacentral:rRNA from 1 species